UACAGAGGUCUCAAGCGUUGUUCGGAAUUACUGGGCGUAAAGGGCUCGUAGGUGGCCAACUAAGUCAGACGUGAAAUCCCUCGGCUUAACCGGGGAACUGCGUCUGAUACUGGAUGGCUUGAGUUUGGGAGAGGGACGCGGAAUUCCAGGUGUAGCGGUGAAAUGCGUAGAUAUCUGGAGGAACACCGGUGGCGAAGGCGGCGUCCUGGACCAACACUGACACUGAGGAGCGAAAGCCAGGGGAGCAAACGGG
rnacentral:rRNA from 1 species